rnacentral:rRNA from 1 species
CCUACGGGAGGCAGCAGUGAGGAAUAUUGGUCAAUGGACGAGAGUCUGAACCAGCCAAGUCGCGUGCAGGAAGACUGCUCUAUGAGUUGUAAACUGCUUUUGUAAAGGGGUAAACGCAGGUACGUGUAUCUGUCUGCAUGUACUUUACGAAUAAGGAUCGGCUAACUCCGUGCCAGCAGCCGCGGUAAUACGGAGGAUCCAAGCGUUAUCCGGAUUUAUUGGGUUUAAAGGGGGCGUAGAAGGGUUGUUAAGUUAGUUGUGAAAGUCUGGGGCUCAACUUUGGAAUUGCAAUUGAUACUGGCAGGCUAGAGUAGAGGUGAGGUAGGCGGAAUUCGUGGUGUAGCGGUGAAAUGCUUAGAGAUCACACAGAACCCCGAUUGCGAAGGCAGCUUACCAAGCU